AUUGUCAUCACUUUGUUAGGUUAUGUAAGUUCAUCAACAUCAAAAUUGUUACAAAUCUCAAAUCAAUUCAAAAUUCAAGUAGUUUUUUUCAAAAUUUAAGAUAAGAAUGGCACUGUCAGCCUCUGCUAAAAAACUGGUUCUAUUAGGGGGCGUAGCCCUGUCACUACACCUCGGUUUCUUAUUUAUAAAACCGAUUGUUAUUCCUAAACCUAAAGAAAAUAAAAGUGUUAUAAAUGAAUUAAAGAAUAUAUAAAUUAUUAAUGAUUCUUCUACUGAAAGGAAAUGUCUCCACAUUCUUCUAUUUAUUUGAAUUGUAUGACUGUUUUAAAAAAGUAUUUGUUAUAAAUAAACUGUUACAAUAAA